rnacentral:rRNA from 1 species
UCAAGCUACAAAGAGCACAAGGGGAAUGCCUUGGCACCGAGAGCCGAAGAAGGACGUGACUAACUGCGAUAAGCUACGGGGAGCUGUAAGUGAGCGUUAUAUCCGUAGAUUUCCGAAUGGAGCAAUCCGAUUAGAGGAAAGUCUAAUCAUCAUAUACUGAAUACAUAGGUAUAUGAGGGGAACCGCCUGAACUGAAACAUCUAAGUAGGGCGAGGAAGAGAAAUCAACUGAGAUUCCGUAAGUAGUGGCGAGCGAACGCGGAAGAGGCCAAACCUAAUGUAGUAAUAUGUUAGGGGUUCGGACAGUAUAAUGAAUUGUCGAAAUUUAGCCGAAUGUCAUGGGAAGGGCAAUCAAAGAAGGUGAAAAUCCUGUAGGCGAAAAGUUAAGACAUCAGACUGUAUCCAGAGUACCGCCGGACACGUGAAACCCGGUGGGAAUACGGGGGGACCAUCCUCCAAGCCUAAAUACUACUCGGUGACCGAUAGAGAAGAAGUACUGUGAAGGAAAGGUGAAAAGCACCCCGGAAGGGGAGUGAAAGAGAACCUGAAACCUUGUGUUUACAAGCACCGAAAGUUCAUCAACGAACGAUCGGGUACCUUUUGUAGAAUGGUCCGGCGAGUGAAUGUAACUGGCAAGGUUAAGCACUUAAGGUGUGAAGCCGUAGCGAGAGCGAGUCUGAAAAGGGCGCAUGAAGUCAGUUGUAUUCGACCCGAAACCGGGUGACCUACCCAUGUCCAGGCUGAAGUGCAGGUAAAACUUCAUGGAGGGCCGAACCGACUCCCGUUGAAAUGGUAGCGGAUGAGGUGUGGGUAGCGGAGAAAUUCCAAUCGAACCCGGAGAUAGCUGGUUCUCUCCGAAAUAGCUUUAGGGCUAGCCUUGGAAUAGAUUACUGGAGGUAAAGCACUGAAUUGGCUAGGGGCCGAGAGGUUACUGAACCUUAUCAAACUAAGAAUGCCAGAUAAUCGUUUUCCAGGAGUCAGACAGUGGGAGAUAAGUUUCAUUGUCAAAAGGGAAACAGCCCAGACCUACAGCUAAGGUCCCAAAGUAUAGUUAAGUGGAAAAGGAUGUGGAAUUGCAUAGACAACCAGGAUGUUGGCUUAGAAGCAGCCACUCAUUAAAAGAGUGCGUAAUAGCUCACUGGUCGAGUGAUUCUGCGCCGAAAAUUUAACGGGGCUAAACUAUACACCGAAGCUUAGGAUACCGCAAGGUAUGGUAGGAGAGCGUUCUGUACGGAGUGAAGUCGUAGCGAAAGCGGCGGUGGACUGUACAGAAGUGAGAAUGCCGGAAUAAGUAGCGAGAAUUAAGUGAGAAUCUUAAUGGCCGAAAGUCUAAGGUUUUUGGAGGAAGGUUCGUCCGCUCCAAGUAAGUCGGGAGCUAAGGUCAGGCCGAAAGGCGUAGCCGAUGCACAAACGGUUGAUAUUCCGUUACCGUCUACAAUUUAAACAAAGGGACACAUACAAAGCGUUUAACCCGGGCGAUGGUUGACCCGGGCGCAAGGGACUGAAAUUAGAGUAGGGAAGUAAAUGUGGCGUAUGGCGAGAAAAGCUUUGUGUAUAGAAGUAGGCGCCCGUACCGCAAACCGACACAGGUGGACAGGAAGAGAAUUCUAAGGCCAGCGGGAGAAGGGUAGUUAAGGAACUCGGCAAAUUGACUCCGUAACUUCGGAAUAAGGAGUGCUCGAAAGAGCCGCAGAGAAUAGGCCCAGGCGACUGUUUAGCAAAAACACAGGUCUCUGCCAAAUCGAAAGAUGAAGUAUAGGGGCUGACACCUGCCCGGUGCCGGAAGGUUAAGAGGAGGAGUGCAAGCUCCGAAUUGAAGCCCCGGUAAACGGCGGCCGUAACUAUAACGGUCCUAAGGUAGCGAAAUUCCUUGUCGGGUAAGUUCCG